UGCCUGGCAACUUCCUCCCCUCGUAACCUCUUGUAACCACCUAAAUGACUGAUGCCGAGAUGUUCUUUCCAGACUGGCUUUACCAGGCAGCUGCUACAGGCUUUUGGUGUCAUUUAGUACUGAAGAGGAAAAUUACCGCCUUUUUAUACAAUCUCUUGUGUGUCUGAGGAAUAUUUUGUGAAGAUUUUUAGUCUUUUUUUUUUUUUUUUUAAUGGAUGUUUUGUUAUUUUGUUACUUUUUAUACAUGCAUUUUUUUGGAUCCCAAUAAAUGAUUUUAUACCGUUCUAUUGAAGUUGUAUUACUGAUUGUGUUUCAGAAUGAGGUUGUAUUGUACAAGUAUGUUUAAUUUAAGUGAAGCGCUUCUCUGGUAGUUUUAAUCGGAGUAUGUUUUAGCCUAAAUUUAGAGGGGUUAUUAAAAAAAAGUUUAACCAUUAAAGUCAGUAGUUUAAGUUACAAAAAUGUUCAUGCUGAUAAUUUUAGGGG
rnacentral:lncRNA from 1 species